rnacentral:snRNA from 1 species
AUACUUACCUGGACAGGGUCAAUGGGUGAUCAUGAAGGCCCAUGGUCUAGGUCAGUGACUUCCAUUGCACUUUAGGAGGGGUGCUGGUCUAAGGUCUCCCCAAGUUGGGAGAGCCUAUGUCGUAAUUUGUGGUAGUUGGGGCCUGCGUUCGCGCGGCCCCUAU